rnacentral:lncRNA from 1 species
AUGUCCCAAACCACAGCCAACAGACUCCAUAGGUGGCUUCUGCCCCUCACCCCCCUGGGGUCAGGAAGACCACUCCUAAUCACCCGCAUGCCGUUCAGAGCUCCUCCGUCCUUGCCCAGCCUCCUGCACAAAGCUGCAGCAGAGAGGGCCCAGGGCAAAGCCGGAGGAAGGGCCUGGGAGCCACGCUUGGUGGGGGCGGGAGGACGGCAGAAGCCUUGUGGCUGUGGAGAAUGGCGGGAAAGCUGGAUGCGAAAGCUGGAUGCGAGUGCGAACAGCCAGAGGGAUGAGGGUUCUCGAAGCAGCCACCAGGCUGCCCGGCCCUUCUUAGGGGCCAGAGCCCAGAACUUUCCUGAUGGGAGCACACCUUGGGCAGGACGCCCCUGGCCAGCCAAGGAGCCCUCACAGAAGAUGUCGGAGGUGGGACGGUCCACAGCCUCAGCGCCCCUGGGAAGGCAGGAGCACGGGGCGCUUGGGAGGAGGUGGGCAGUUUCCCAGGCGUGCCAGCAGCAGAGCAAAACUACAGAAGAAAAGGGAAAAGUCGGGGUGCCCCACCAUCAGCAAGGAAUUUCCAACUUAAGACAAAAACGUUUCCUCAGAGACGAGACUCCUGUGGCAGGAGAGUGCUCCUACCUGGAGAAUGGUCCAGACCCUUUCGUGAGGCCCUUCCACUGGUACUCAGCCUGUCUGAAGUCCUUGGGUCUGGUCUCCGCCCUUCCUCAGUGCUUGCCCCCCCCCCCCCCCCGGGCCGCUUCCUGUUCAGGAACAGCUGCAAGUCUGGGCUUGUCCCUCUGGUCAGCUGGGCUUCCAGACAGACAUCCCAGCCUGACACCUUUGCUGGGGUUUGGAAGGUGGUGGUGCCCUGUCUGCCCUCGACACCCACUCCCUCCUCGCACCGCAUUGAACAGGUGCCUUAAGCUGAGACCCAGAGGUGGGGGGAAGGGGAGGGGUGGUUGUGGUUUGAAUCCCCUGGAUCCCCCAGUCUCAACAAGAGGCCCCCAGAAAGGGGGUCACAGGGUCCCACUCUUUCAACUGGCCUGA